AGCAGUCGCCGCGGUAAUACGGAGGGUGCAAGCGUUAAUCGGAAUUACUGGGCGUAAAGCGCACGCAGGCGGUCUGUCAAGUCAGAUGUGAAAUCCCCGGGCUUAACCUGGGAACUGCAUUUGAAACUGGCAGGCUAGAGUCUUGUAGAGGGGGGUAGAAUUCCAGGUGUAGCGGUGAAAUGCGUAGAGAUCUGGAGGAAUACCGGUGGCGAAGGCGGCCCCCUGGACAAAGACUGACGCUCAGGUGCGAAAGCGUGGGGAGCAAACAGGAUUAGAUACCCCGGUAGUCCCUGUCUCUUAUAC
rnacentral:rRNA from 1 species